CCCCGCGCUCUCCCGCUCUUGUCCCCUCCCUCUCCUGCCCCUGCGUCAUCCUUGCCUUUGUUCCAGGAAUAGCUCUCCAGGCUCCCUGAGCCUCGCUCUGGAGCCCACCGCCCUCUGCUACCAACCGGCCCCUCCCACGCCCUCGGGACGCUGUCCUGUGCUCCAGCCUCAGAAUGGGCAUCUGUUACACAGCUGGACGGCCCACCCACACCCGACCUGGCCCUGCUAACCGCCUGACUGCACCCCUCUGCCCACACCCCUGCGCUGCCCUGCCAUCACCACGCACCGCACCCACCCACGCGCUGCUGCCCUUUGUCAUCUGGACUCAUCUCCGAGAUACCUCAGCUGGCCACAGCCCGUGGACGCUCCUUCAGGUGGCUGGUCGUCCCUCUGCAGGGCCACACCAGCCUCACUUCAGCGGGACCCAUUCCCUCCCCUCUCUGAGCCCUCUUUGUGUUCCUGGCAGGAUUCAGUCAUUCCUUUACUCCCGAGGACCAGUUAGUUUCCCCAGUGUGCUCUUCUCUUCUGAACUUGCAGCUGUCCCUCUGAUGUGUGUGCCUUUGUUUCAACACAGUAACCCCUGGGAUCUUUCCAGCUCUUUUACACUAUCUGUACAAAAGCCUUUU
rnacentral:lncRNA from 1 species